rnacentral:rRNA from 1 species
CCUACGGGAGGCAGCAGUGAGGAAUAUUGGUCAAUGGACGAGAGUCUGAACCAGCCAAGUAGCGUGAAGGAUGACUGCCCUAUGGGUUGUAAACUUCUUUUAUAUGGGAAUAAAACGUUCCACGUGUGGGAUUUUGUAUGUACCAUAUGAAUAAGGAUCGGCUAACUCCGUGCCAGCAGCCGCGGUAAUACGGAGGAUCCGAGCGUUAUCCGGAUUUAUUGGGUUUAAAGGGAGCGUAGGUGGAUUGUUAAGUCAGUUGUGAAAGUUUGCGGCUCAACCGUAAAAUUGCAGUUGAAACUGGCAGUCUUGAGUACAGUAGAGGUGGGCGGAAUUCGUGGUGUAGCGGUGAAAUGCUUAGAUAUCACGAAGAACUCCGAUUGCGAAGGUAGUUCACUGGACUGCAACUGACACUGAGGCUCGAAAGUGUGGGUAUCAAACAGGAUUAGAUACCCCGGUAGUC